rnacentral:other from 1 species
CGGGUUCUGUUCCUCACGUGACAUGGUAUCAUUCCGGUGGCCUAUAAUUAUUCCGAGGGAGCUGGCUCUGUCUGAGUCCUGGCUUAGUUACCUGGCGCCCACCUGUUCAUGCAGGUCCUCGGGAAUGUGAAACCCCACGGUUGCUACGGGCCCGUC